CUAGUCAAUUCGCGCCGAUCGUUAUAGUGUGUAAUAUGGCCGCUUGGGGGUAAGUUUGUGCAACUAUUACGACAUUGUGAAAACUGGAAUUUUGCAUUUCGAAACGCCAUGGCCAAUAGCACCUACCGUAUCAAAUCAAAUCAAAUGCAUUUCGAAAUUGCUCAAAGUUAACGAUAAGCGAUAGCUAUUGAAGUCGAUUCCGGGAAGUUUGACUGUUCUAGUCUCGCACUUCAAGGAACACAUCAAACAAGAAGGAUUGCGAACAGUGGCUAACCUGUCAGGAGACAACAUGUCUGCCCAGUUUGUAGAGGCGGGCAUGCUUAGGUUCCACUCCGAGUGCAAAGAGAUCACCGAUACUGUUUUCAGUAAUGAUCAGCUAUUUAGCAGUGCUCUAGAUGAGGCCUGUGCUGCAGUCGCCACCCAUCGCCCUAAUUAUUAACCCUAAUUAUUAAACAACCUUGAAGAUUCUUCGCCACAUCGACUUAAUUCAGGAGGUGUUGAGCCAGAUCUAAACCCGAUUCGCUCCUUCUAUUAGCUUGAUAAAAACGUGCAUUGCGACACUGAUUGAAAAGGA